rnacentral:rRNA from 1 species
CGGAGAGAGGUAGCUUGCUACUGAUCUUAGCGGCGGACGGGUGAGUAAUGCUUAGGAAUCUGCCUAUUAGUGGGGGACAACAUUUCGAAAGGAAUGCUAAUACCGCAUACGUCCUACGGGAGAAAGCAGGGGAUCUUCGGACCUUGCGCUAAUAGAUGAGCCUAAGUCGGAUUAGCUAGUUGGUGGGGUAAAGGCCUACCAAGGCGACGAUCUGUAGCGGGUCUGAGAGGAUGAUCCGCCACACUGGGACUGAGACACGGCCCAGACUCCUACGGGAGGCAGCAGUGGGGAAUAUUGGACAAUGGGCGCAAGCCUGAUCCAGCCAUGCCGCGUGUGUGAAGAAGGCCUUAUGGUUGUAAAGCACUUUAAGCGAGGAGGAGGCUACUUUAGUUAAUACCUAGAGAUAGUGGACGUUACUCGCAGAAUAAGCACCGGCUAACUCUGUGCCAGCAGCCGCGGUAAUACAGAGGGUGCAAGCGUUAAUCGGAUUUACUGGGCGUAAAGCGCGCGUAGGCGGCUAAUUAAGUCAAAUGUGAAAUCCCCGAGCUUAACUUGGGAAUUGCAUUCGAUACUGGUUAGCUAGAGUGUGGGAGAGGAUGGUAGAAUUCCAGGUGUAGCGGUGAAAUGCGUAGAGAUCUGGAGGAAUACCGAUGGCGAAGGCAGCCAUCUGGCCUAACACUGACGCUGAGUGCGAAAGCAUGGGGGAGCAAACAGGAUUAGAUACCCUGGUAGUCCAUGCCGUAAACGAUGUCUACUAGCCGUUGGGGCCUUUGAGGCUUUA